AAUGGGGGAAACCCUGAUCCAGCCAUUCCGCGUGAGUGAAGAAGGCCUUCGGGUUGUAAAGCUCUUUCGCAAGAGAAGAAAACUUAUAAUCUAAUAUAUUGUAAGCAUGACGGUAUCUUGAUAAGAAGCACCGGCUAACUACGUGCCAGCAGCCGCGGUAAUACGUAGGGUGCAAGCGUUAAUCGGAAUUACUGGGCGUAAAGCGUGCGCAGGCAGUUUUAUAAGUCAGAUGUGAAAUCCCCGAGCUCAACUUGGGAACUGCGUUUGAAACUGUAAGACUAGAGUGUGUCAGAGGGGGGUAGAAUUCCACGUGUAGCAGUGAAAUGCGUAGAGAUGUGGAGGAAUACCAAUGGCGAAGGCAGCCCCCUGGGAUAACACUGACGCUCAUGCACGAAAGCGUGGGGAGCAAACAGGAUU
rnacentral:rRNA from 1 species